GCCUGCUGGCUUCCGCCCAACUCUUUCCCUAUUCCCAGCGACAGUGGCCUGCUGCCCGCCCCUGAGGUCAGGGGUCGCUCACGAACAGAGCACGGUCAGAAGAGGACUUUCAUUCCCAGCUUUUGCUGCCAGAGAUGCCCUCCAGUGGACACUACGUGGACACCCUCCAGUGGGCACUACGUGGACACCCUGUAGUGGACAUUAUGUGGAUGCCCUCUGGUGGACGCCCUCCUGUGGACGCUACGUAGAUGCCCUUCAGCGGACACUCUGUGGUGGACACUAUGUGACACCCUGCAGUGGACGCCCUGCAGUGGGCUCUACCUGGCUGCACUGUUUUCCAUGGACGAGGAUGGAGUUGCUCCUCUCUGCAGCUGUGUCUGCAGCGGUGCUGGGGUGCUGGGUGAGCCUUGCUGCUGCCUGGGGUUUUCCCAGGGGUGAGAUCUGAUCAGAGGCCCUGGGCUUGAGACCGGCUUUGGCUCUGGACUCCCCUGCUAAUGCAGACCCGAGGAGGCAGCACCAAUGGCUCAAGGAAUGGGUCUUUGCGCCCACAUGGGAGUCCUGGACCGAGUUCCUGGGUUCUGGCUGCAAUCCUGGCCCAACCCUCACCAUUGUGGGCAUCUGGGGAGUGAACCCGUGAAUGAGAGCUCACACGCUCUUUCCCUGCCUCUCAAAGAAAAAAAAAAAAAAAGCCAAAAAAGUCCCUGAGGCCAGGCUGUGAUGCAGAGGGCAAAGCCUCCCAGACAGGCUCCAGCUCAGGUCCCGGCUGCUCCACUGCCGACCCAGCCCCCUGCUGUGGCCUGGGAGAGCAGCGGAGGAGCGGAGAGUGCCCAAGUGCCUGAGACCCAGGUGGACUCCUGGCUCCUGGCUUCUGCCUGGCCCAGCCCAGCUGGCUGUUGGGGGCACUGGGGAGUGAUCCAUAUUCAUUCAUUCUCUCUCUCUCUCCCCCUGUGUAACUGCAUUUCAAAUAAAUAAAUCUUUUUUUAAAGGAUA